rnacentral:rRNA from 1 species
UACGGGGGGGGCAAGCGUUGCUCGGAAUUACUGGGCGUAAAGGGCUCGUAGGUGGCCAACUAAGUCGGACGUGAAAUCCCUCAGCUUAACUGGGGAACUGCGUCCGAUACUGGAUGGCUUGAGUUUGGGAGAGGGAUGCGGAAUUCCAGGUGUAGCGGUGAAAUGCGUAGAUAUCUGGAGGAACACCGGUGGCGAAGGCGGCAUCCUGGACCAACACUGACACUGAGGAGCGAAAGCCAGGGGAGCAAACGGG